rnacentral:rRNA from 1 species
AAUGAACGCUGGCGGCAUGCCUAAUACAUGCAAGUCGAGCGAGACCUCCGGGACUUGUCGCGCACGGGUGUGUAACGCGUGGGAUUCUUACCUCGUGGUCGGAAUAACUGUUGGAAACGACUGCUAAUACGGGACGAGGACGUAAGUCCAAGGAUUUAUCGCACAAGGAUGAGCCCGCGUAGGAUUAGCUAGUUGGUGAGGUAAAGGCUCACUAAGGCGACGAUCCUUAGCUGGUCUGUGAGGAUGAUCAGCCACACUGGGACUGAGACACGGCCCAGACUCCUACGGGAGGCAGCAGUGGGGAAUAUUGGACAAUGGGCGAAAGCCUGAUCCAGCAAUGCCGCGUGAGUGAUGAAGGCAUUAGGGUUGUAAAGCUCUUUUAACCGGGAUGAUAAUGACAGUACCGGGAGAAUAAGCUCCGGCUAACUCCGUG